AGCUUUGCACAGGGGCAAUAUCACAACCAAUGAGGUUUAUCUGAGGCAUGAUUAUUGUUGACUGAAAACUUUUACUAG
rnacentral:snRNA from 1 species